rnacentral:misc_RNA from 1 species
UACGGAGGAUCCGAGCGUUAUCCGGAAUCAUUGGGUUUAAAGGGUCCGUAGGCGGGUUGAUAAGUCAGUGGUGAAAGUCUGCAGCUUAACUGUAGAAUUGCCAUUGAAACUGUUAAUCUUGAGUAAUUAUGAAGUGGUUAGAAUAUGUAGUGUAGCGGUGAAAUGCAUAGAUAUUACAUAGAAUACCGAUUGCGAAGGCAGAUCACUAAUAAUUUACUGACGCUGAGGGACGAAAGCGUGGGUAGCAAACAGG